rnacentral:lncRNA from 1 species
AUCAGUUAGCAAAGGAAAAGCAUUGGCCUGUCUGGAUUAAUUGACAGAGUGAGUGAGUAGGGCACCUGAUAUGGGCAUCCUUGGCCUCCCUAGAGCCAAGGCAAGCUUGCUUGGUAGGCUUGAGGCUAUUUCAAGCCUAUAAGGAAAGUAUUCGCUUCUCCAUGGAACAAACAGCCUCAAAGGCUUCUCUGUGCUCAGAAAAAUGCAGAUGAGUCAGAUCUCUAAAAAGAUGGACAUCGUUUCAGGCCAGGCAAAGGAUCCUUUAGUACCUCAUGGAGUUCAUCAGCUGAUGAAACAAUGCAUUAUUUGUCCAAGUGGGUCUCUACAAUGUGAUUUGAACUGCUGGGGUGUGCACAGACACACAAAAUAAUAAUUCUUUGCUUGGCUCAGUGGGAGAACAGAUUUGAUUUUGAAACAGAGAUCCAUCUUCAUAAUCCAAUGGGAUAAAGUACACCAUUUAUUAUCAUGGCUGAACACAUCUCUAGUGACGUAAAUAAAAGGGGAAUGCACCAAGUGAUGGUCA